rnacentral:rRNA from 1 species
CAUUACGACCACCUGCUUCUAGAGUGCUCUUGGCAGAUCUCAGAGGCUAAACAGCGUUGGGCCUGCUUAGGACUUGGAUGGGAGACUGCUGGGGAUUCCAAGUGCCAUAGUAA